rnacentral:rRNA from 1 species
GACGAACGCUAGCGGCGUGCUUAACACAUGCAAGUCGAACGGAAAGGCCCUGCUUUUGUGGGGUGCUCGAGUGGCGAACGGGUGAGUAACACGUGAGUAACCUGCCCUUGACUUUGGGAUAACUUCAGGAAACUGGGGCUAAUACCGGAUAGGAGCUCCUGCUGCAUGGUGGGGGUUGGAAAGUUUCGGCGGUUGGGGAUGGACUCGCGGCUUAUCAGCUUGUUGGUGGGGUAGUGGCUUACCAAGGCUUUGACGGGUAGCCGGCCUGAGAGGGUGACCGGCCACAUUGGGACUGAGAUACGGCCCAGACUCCUACGGGAGGCAGCAGUGGGGAAUAUUGCACAAUGGGCGGAAGCCUGAUGCAGCAACGCCGCGUGAGGGAUGACGGCCUUCGGGUUGUAAACCGCUUUCGCCUGUGACGAAGCGUGAGUGACGGUAAUGGGUAAAGAAGCACCGGCUAACUACGUG